rnacentral:rRNA from 1 species
AUACAUGCAAGUCGAGCGAAUGGAUUAAGAGCUUGCUCUUAUGAAGUUAGCGGCGGACGGGUGAGUAACACGUGGGUAACCUGCCCAUAAGACUGGGAUAACUCCGGGAAACCGGGGCUAAUACCGGAUAACAUUUUGAACCGCAUGGUUCGAAAUUGAAAGGCGGCUUCGGCUGUCACUUAUGGAUGGACCCGCGUCGCAUUAGCUAGUUGGUGAGGUAACGGCUCACCAAGGCAACGAUGCGUAGCCGACCUGAGAGGGUGAUCGGCCACACUGGGACUGAGACACGGCCCAGACUCCUACGGGAGGCAGCAGUAGGGAAUCUUCCGCAAUGGACGAAAGUCUGACGGAGCAACGCCGCGUGAGUGAUGAAGGCUUUCGGGUCGUAAAACUCUGUUGUUAGGGAAGAACAAGUGCUAGUUGAAUAAGCUGGCACCUUGACGGUACCUAACCAGAAAGCCACGGCUAACUACGUGCCAGCAGCCGCGGUAAUACGUAGGUGGCAAGCGUUAUCCGGAAUUAUUGGGCGUAAAGCGCGCGCAGGUGGUUUCUUAAGUCUGAUGUGAAAGCCCACGGCUCAACCGUGGAGGGUCAUUGGAAACUGGGAGACUUGAGUGCAGAAGAGGAAAGUGGAAUUCCAUGUGUAGCGGUGAAAUGCGUAGAGAUAUGGAGGAACACCAGUGGCGAAGGCGACUUUCUGGUCUGUAACUGACACUGAGGCGCGAAG